UAAAGCGCGCGUAGGUGGUUUGUUAAGUUGGAUGUGAAAGCCCCGGGCUCAACCUGGGAACUGCAUCCAAAACUGGCAAGCUAGAGUAUGGUAGAGGGUGGUGGAAUUUCCUGUGUAGCGGUGAAAUGCGUAGAUAUAGGAAGGAACACCAGUGGCGAAGGCGACCACCUGGACUGAUACUGACACUGAGGUGCGAAAGCGUGGGGAGCAAACAGGAUUAGAUACCCGAG
rnacentral:rRNA from 1 species